rnacentral:rRNA from 1 species
UACGGAGGGGGCUAGCGUUGUUCGGAAUUACUGGGCGUAAAGCGCACGUAGGCGGCUUUGUAAGUUAGAGGUGAAAGCCCGGGGCUCAACCCCGGAACAGCCUUUAAGACUGCAUCGCUUGAACGUCGGAGAGGUGAGUGGAAUUCCGAGUGUAGAGGUGAAAUUCGUAGAUAUUCGGAAGAACACCAGUGGCGAAGGCGGCUCACUGGACGACUGUUGACGCUGAGGUGCGAAAGCGUGGGGAGCGAACAGG